rnacentral:rRNA from 1 species
GACAAACGCUGGCGGCGUACCUAAGACAUGCAAGUCGAACGAGCUAUGAUCCUUCGGGGUGAUAGCGAGUGGCGGACGGGUGAGUAACGCGUAGGAACCUGACGCACAGUGGGGGAUAACGCUGGGAAACUGGCGCUAAGACCGCAUGUGGUCCGGAGACGGAAGAAAGCCAUUCACGAAAGUGGGUAGUGCUGUGUGAGGGGCCUGCGUCCGAUUAGCUAGUUGGUGGGGAAAGGCCUACCAAGGCGACGAUCGGUAGCUGGUCUGAGAGGAUGAUCAGCCACACUGGGACUGAGACACGGCCCAGACUCCUACGGGAGGCAGCAGUUAGGAAAUUUUCUCAAUGGGGGAAACCCUGAAGGAGUAACGCCGCGUGCAGGAUGACGGCUUUCGGGUUGUAAAC